rnacentral:rRNA from 1 species
GACGAACGCUGGCGGCGUGCCUAAUACAUGCAAGUCGAGCGGACAGAAGGGAGCUUGCUCCCGGAAGUUAGCGACGGACGGGUGAGUAACACGUGGGCAACCUACCCUGUAGAUCGGGAUAACAUCGAGAAAUCGGUGCUAAUACCGGAUAAUCAUUUGAAGUGCAUGCUUCGGAUGUAAAAGAUGGCUCCGGCUAUCACUACGGGAUGGGCCCGCGGCGCAUUAGCUAGUUGGUAAGGUAAUGGCUUACCAAGGCAACGAUGCGUAGCCGACCUGAGAGGGUGAGCGGCCACACUGGGACGGAGAUACGGCCAAGACACCUACGGGAGGCAGCAGUAGGGAACCUUCAGCUAUGGACGAAAGUCUGACGGAGCAACGCCGCGUGGGUGAUGAAGGUUUUCGGAUCGUAAAGCUCUGUUGGUAGGGAAGAACAAGUGCCGUUUGAAUAAGGCGGCACCUGGACGGUACCUAGCCAGAAAGCCACGGCUAACUACGUGCCAGCCGCCGCCGUAAGAC